rnacentral:rRNA from 1 species
CACGUAGGGUGCGAGCGUUGUCCGGAAUUAUUGGGCGUAAAGAGCUCGUAGGCGGUGUGUCGCGUCGGCCGUGAAAACCUGCAGCUUAACUAUGGGCUUGCGGUCGAUACGGGCAUCACUGGAGUUCGGCAGGGGAGACUGGAAUUCCCGGUGUAGAGGUGAAAUUCGUAGAUAUCGGGAGGAACACCAGUGGCGAAGGCGACUUCCUGGCCUGUUCUUGACGCUGAGGCGCGAAAGCUAGGGGAGCAAACGGG